AUUAUUAUAAAACCAAAAUACUUGAAAACUACCUCUCUCUUUUAGAUGACCUCCCCUGUCAAACCAGUAAAAUCCAAUAAAGUGCACUUUAUUUAUUUAAAAUAUCCAUUACAAUCGAGGGGUAUUUCUGAGAAAUCAUAAGAUAUUUUAGGUAUAGCCUGAAACCCUACAUUUCCGCCGCAAUUCCCGAUCCCGAUCCCAAUCCCAUUUCCAAUUUCCAAGUUCAAAGUUCCAGGCUCCAGCUCCCUCGACGAUGGAUCCUGAAAUUCGAACAAUUGUUCCUUUUAACUCUCACCUCAAUAUAUGGUUCACUGUAUGUAUUGUUGGGUGAUUCCACUGGAAUGGUGCAGUUGUACAUAGUCAGAAUCCGAUGAUGAAUGCUUAUAUUGCAAGUGCCGAAUGACGCUUCUACCAAAGUUGGGUGUUUGAUUUGAUAAAGGUUUCUGAGGAUUCUUUUCCCUUAAUUGUUUCAAAUGAUCAACUACACCUAAAUCCGUAAUUACUUAGUGUCUGGAUUUAUUCCAUUGUGUCCAAGUCCAUUCAGGGUAGCUCAUCAUGUUUAGACUAUUUUACGUUGGCCGUCAAUAUACCACAAGCCUCCUGUUUUAUAUGUGUGUCAAAACGGCAAAUAUUUUUGUAUGCUUGUUUACUUAAAAUGCAUGGUUCAACUAUGAAGCCGUUGAUACCUAGCAUAAAGGAUAUAAUUGAUUUCAAAGAAUUAAACAUCGUCUCCUCAUUCUUUUUCUGUUAAUUGCAUAGUUCAGUCAUUUAUGCCCCCUCUCCUUUCUAAUUCCUGGAAUUUCAAUAAAAGGGCAGCCCUGUGCACUAAAGCUACCGCUAUGAGCGGUGUCCGGGGAAGGGUCCCACCACAAGGGUGUAUCGUACGCAGCCUUACCUAGCAUUUCUGCUAAAGGCUGUUUAAUUCCAGGAAUUCCAAUGAGGAAUGCUAAUGUUGGAAGUGCCAAAUACAUAUUUCAACUUGCAGAACAUUUGAUCCUAGAAUAUAAAUACAGUCCCUUGAUUCAUUCUUGCCUAAAUGCAUUUUUCCCCUUCCUGGUUAGUGACAUAGAGUAGUAGUAUCGAAAAAGAGAAGAGUCUUUUCAUUUCCUGCUCCCUCUACUUUAUAGUACCAUUCUCUCUUGUCUGAUGUUUUGCAAUUGAUGCUAGAUUUGAUUUCCAGCGAAUCUUUUAUCAAUCACAAGUCUCAAAAGCCUGAAUAGUAAAGUUAAUGGUAUCAUAUGAAAGCACCUAUUGAUUUCUGAACUAGCAGCUCCAUAAAGUUCACCAGCCUUGUGCGCAAUGACAUCAGGUAUCCGAUCCUGAGCGUUGUGCACAAUGACAUCAGGUAUCUGAUCCCGAACCUUGUGCGCAAUGACAUUGGGUGUCUGAUCAUGAGCCGUGUUCAGGAGACUUGUGCACAAUGCCAUCAUGUAUCUGAUCUUGAGCCUUUCUGCCAUAUUGAUCAUUUAAUCGUCCUGCGGUUGUGUAAGUCUGAAAAUAAGAUGUAUACUAUAAAAAAUCCACUGUUGUAACUUGUGAUGGGAUCUUAUUAACCUUUUGGCAGUCUACUAGUUAGUUAUUG